rnacentral:rRNA from 1 species
UACGGGAGGCAGCAGUGGGGAAUCUUGCGCAAUGGGCGAAGGCCUGACACAGCAACGCCGCGUGCGGGAUGAAGGCCUUCGGGCUGUAAACCGCUUUCAGCAGGAACGAAAAUGACGGUACCUGCAGAAGAAGGAGCGGCCAACUACGUGCCAGCAGCCGCGGUGACACGUAGGCUCCAAGCGUUGUCCGGAUUUAUUGGGCGUAAAGAGCUCGUAGGCGGUUGAGUAAGUCGGGUGUGAAAACUCUGGGCUUAACCCGGAGACGCCAUCCGAUACUGCUCUGACUAGAGUUCAGGAGGGGAGUGGGGAAUUCCUAGUGUAGCGGUGAAAUGCGCAGAUAUUAGGAGGAACACCGGUGGCGAAGGCGCCACUCUGGACUGAAACUGACGCUGAGGAGCGAAAGCAUGGGUAGCAAACAGGAUUAGAUACCCUGGUAGUCCAUGCCGUAAACGGUGGGCACUAGGUGUGGGUUCCAACUAACGGGAUCCGCGCCGUCGCUAACGCAUUAAGUGCCCCGCCUGGGGAGUACGGUCGCAAGACUAAAACUCAAAGGAAUUGACGGGA